GCACUACUUUAUAAUCCUGUGUACGCGCCGUGCCGUCCGUGUCACGCGCUGCCACCGUCCGCGACGGGCACCUGCCGAGAUGUUCAGACGUUAUAAGUGAAAAACAAAAUUAAAAAAAUAAAAUUGAGGUGGAAGAAAUUAUUGGACCGGUGCGACUAAUUAUGAAUGGGAUUUUUUGCUCAUGCGUGGUUUUAUGAUUUGUUUUUAUAUUUUACAAUCUUGGUAUUAUGAUAGAAGAGAUUGUGAAAAAUGACUUGAUUUGUUGGAUUGGAAAACAACGGAUUAUUGACAUUGCACGGGUACAGCAGAACAAUACAACCAACCUGCAACAGAGACCCCCUGGGAGCGGCCGACACUGAAGCCCGGGAUGCCCCUCCCUGAGGGCACCAUGGAAUACCUAAUGGGGCUGUGUCAGGACCUCUAUAACGUCACGUGCUCCGACACUCAGAUCCGUCACCUCAUCCGGGCACUCCAUGCUUUCAAGUACAACACGAGCGGCGGGUCGCCUCCCUUUGACAUUUGGCGGUUCCUGGAGGUGUAUAUGUACCCCCGGCGGGACAGCCUCGCUGUGGUUAUCCCGGUCACCAUUAUUUAUGGCAUUCUGUUUGUGACCGGCAUCCUUGGGAACAUUUGCACGUGCUUCGUCAUCGCCCGGAACAAGUUCAUGCACACCGCCACGAAUUACUACCUGUUUAACCUGGCCGUGGCGGACCUCCUCCUGCUGGUGAUCGGACUUCCGCCGGAUCUAUACUCCGUCUGGUCACUGUACCCCUGGGUGUUCGGAGAGACGCUCUGUGUGAUGCGCGCCUUCGUCUGUGAGAUCUCCACCAACACUUCCAUUCUGACGAUCACGGCUUUUACCGUGGAGCGAUACGUCGCCAUUUGUUUCCCAAUGAAGGCGCAGAAGAUGUCCAGUCUCCCGCGCGCGGCGCGCGUGAUCGCCUGCGUGUGGAUUGUGGCCGUAUGCACCGCUAUUCCAAUCGCCGACCAGUACGGUGUGGUCAAAAUCAAGGACCCCAAGAACCGCACGAUCGAGGAGUCCUGCCAUGUGCGCGUUCAAGCACGCGCCAAUCACGGGAUGGUUCCUGGCCUCCACGUGUUUCUUCUUUAUCCUGCCCAUGAUAUUCAUCAGCGUACUGUACAGUCUAAUUGCCGUCGCUAUACAUCGAUCCACCAUAGAAGCUCCCAAAAUCCACAGGUCCUCCUCCGAUACCUCCAAGGCUUCAAAAGAACAUGGGGCGUGUAUCCGUGACGGCCGACGACGGAGUGACGGCAACAUCCAGGCUAGGGCCCGGCGCUCCGUCCUCAAAAUGCUCGUUGCCGUGGUGGUAGCUUUCUUCGUCUGCUGGGCGCCAUUUCACGCUGAGAGAAUGAUGACGGUAUCUAUCAGUGCGUGGACGGAACCUCUCCUCCGCAUCUACCGAACUCUGUUCUAUGUGUCAGGGAUUUUCUACUUCAUCAACUGUACGGUCAAUCCGGUGCUUUACAGUGUCAUGUCCUUUAAAUUCAGAAAAGGUUUGCGCGAGACGAUUCUGAAAUCUAAAUGUUGUUGCAGACCUAUAAAGAUCAGAAAAAGGCUUCCUUUCUCUAAACUCUUGCAUGCUAACAGCCACACCGAGACGGCAUAUACCUCAAUGCCGCCUCGUUUUACAAACACUGCGGGGCGAAAGUUACAGGAAACGGAGCUUAUUCCUCAAAACGAGGCUCAGACCUCCGGAAGUCACAGUCCCGCCCCUUCGAUAAGCGGAAGCAGUUUAAAAUCAACCGACGGAAUGAGUCAAGAAGAAGAUCUACAACAGGUGCUUCUACAGAUUAACGUCAUAGAGAGGCAGCGGAGAAAUGACGUCACACAGAGUUCAGCAGGGAAGACGCGAGAGGUCGAAGGACUAAUGGAGAUCAAAUUCUGACAAGCUUUUUUUUUUAUUAUUGUUUUUCAUGUACAGUGUCUGUCUCAGUUUAUUUUAUAAAUUUUAUCUUGCCGUUGCUUGUUAAUUAAAAUUGUCGUUUGUUGUU
rnacentral:misc_RNA from 1 species